rnacentral:lncRNA from 1 species
AUCUUAUGCUUCUAGAGAAGAUACCACAUCUGCCUGGAGAACAGAAGAGGCGAGUGAAAAUGAUGCAUCGAAGCAUGUGGAGACAAGCUCAACAAAUACAUGUGCUGAUCAUCCGCUACUUCUUCAAAAGCAAAAGUAUCUCAUAUCAUCGGGGUUGAAAGCAAAGGUAUCUCAUAUCAUGCUUUUUCCCUAUCCUUUCCUUUGCCCUUGUUCUUGCCUGCAGAACAAGAAGAAAUGAAGCAAUCAGUCGGAACCUAAAAUUAAACGUCCGAUCAGGAACUGAUUGCCCGGAACCUUUGCCUGGUUGCUUACCUAG